rnacentral:rRNA from 1 species
AUUGAACGCUGGCGGCAGGCUUAACACAUGCAAGUCGAGCGGGGUGAUGGUGCUUGCACUAUCACUUAGCGGCGGACGGGUGAGUAAUGCUUAGGAAUCUGCCUAUUAGUGGGGGACAACAUCUCGAAAGGGAUGCUAAUACCGCAUACGUCCUACGGGAGAAAGCAGGGGAUCACUUGUGACCUUGCGCUAAUAGAUGAGCCUAAGUCGGAUUAGCUAGUUGGUGGGGUAAAGGCCUACCAAGGCGACGAUAUGUAGCGGGGCUGAGAGGAUGAUCUGCCACACUGGGACUGAGACACGGCCCAGACUCCUACGGGAGGCAGCAGUGGGGAAUAUUGGACAAUGGGCGAAAGCCUGAUCCAGCCAUGCCGCGCGUGUGAGGAAGGCCUUAUGGUUGUAAAGCACUUUAAGCGAGGAGGAGGCUCUUUUGGUUAAUACCCAAGAUGAGUGGACGUUACUCGCAGAAUAAGCACCGGCUAACUCUGUGCCAGCAGCCGCAGUAA